rnacentral:rRNA from 1 species
AGCAGCAGCCGCGGGAAUACGAAGGGGGCUAGCGUUGCUCGGAAUGACUGGGCGUAAAGGGCGCGUAGGCGGCUUGCACAGUCAGAUGUGAAAUUCCUGGGCUUAACCUGGGGGCUGCAUUUGAUACGUGUGGGCUAGAGUGUGAAAGAGGGUCGUGGAAUUCCCAGUGUAGAGGUGAAAUUCGUAGAUAUUGGGAAGAACACCGGUGGCGAAGGCGGCAACCUGGCCCUUGACUGACGCUGAGGCGCGAAAGCGUGGGGAGCAAACAGGAUUAGAUACCCCAGUAGUCCCUGUCUCUUAUAA